UGAUAUGUACAUGCCUACAAUGUUAAUGCACCAGAUCCCAUUAUAAGUCCACAAUAAAGAACACUUGGGCUAGAUUAGUAAUGGGAUGGGUGACGUCCUGGGGAGUCUUAUUGUUUUACAU
rnacentral:rRNA from 1 species